CGGCGAUAUUAAGUCAGUGGUGAAAUCUCUCGGCUCAACCGAGAAACUGCCAUUGAUACUGGUAUGCUAGAGUAUAGUUGGCGUAGGCGGAAUGUAUCAUGUAGCGGUGAAAUGCUUAGAUAUGAUACAGAACACCGAUCGCGAAGGCAGCUUACGAAACUAUAACUGACGCUCAGGAACGAAAGCGUGGGUAGCGAACAGGAUUAGAUACCCUGGUAGUCCACGCUGUAAACGAUGAUUACUCGUUGUCGGCGAUACACAGUCGGUGGCUAAGCGAAAGUGAUAAGUAAUCCACCUGGGGAGUACGAUCGCAAGGUUGAAACUCAAAGGAAUUGACGGGGGCCCGCACAAGCGGAGGAGCAUGUGGUUUAAUUCGAUGAUACGCGAGGAACCUUACCUGGGCUUAAAUGUAGAUUGCAUGAAGGGGAAACCUUUCUUUUCUUCGGAACUAUUUACAAGGUGCUGCAUGGUUGUCGUCAGCUCGUGCCGUGAGGUGUCGGGUUAAGUCCCAUAACGAGCGCAACCCCUACCUUUAGUUGCCAUCAGGUCAUGCUGGGGACUCUAAAGGAACUGCCUACGCAAGUAGUGAGGAAGGUGGGGAUGACGUCAAAUCAGCACGGCCCUUACGUCCAGGGCUACACACGUGCUACAAUGGUCGGUACAGAGAGCAGCUAACCCGUGAGGGUGUGCCAAUCUUCAAAGCCGAUCUCAGUUCGGAUCGAAGUCUGAAACUCGACUUCGUGAAGUUGGAUUCGCUAGUAAUCGCAUAUCAGCCAUGAUGCGGUGAAUACGUUCCCGGGCCUUGUACACACCGCCCGUCAAACAAUGGAAGUUUGGGGUACCUGAAGUUUCGUAACCGUAAGGAUCGACCUAGGGUAAAACAAAUAACUGGUGUUAAGUCGUAACAAGGUAACC
rnacentral:rRNA from 1 species